AGUGGCAAACGGCUGAGUAACGCGUAGGAACCUACCCCAAACUCGAGUAUAGCCCCGCGAAAGCGGGGGUAAUCCUCGAUAGCCCGCGAAGUAUUUUACUUCACGGUAAAGCUUUUGCGGUUUGGGAUGGGCCUGCGUCCUAUCAGGUAGUUGGUGAGGUAAAUGCUCACCAAGCCUAUGACGGGUAGCUGGUCUGAGAGGAUGGUCAGCCAGACUGGGACUGCGACACGGCCCAGACUCCUACGGGAGGCAGCAACUAGGAAUUGUGCGCAAUGGACGAAAGUCUGACGCCGCGACAUCGCGUGGAGGAUGAAGGUCUUCGGAUUGUAAACUCCUUUUCUUACCGAACAAGUUCUGAGUGUAGGUAAGGAAUAAGUGCCUGCUAACCACGUGCCAGAAGCAUCGGUAAUACGUGGGGCACGAGCGUUAUCCGGAUUUACUGGGCGUAAAGAGAAGCGUAGGCGGCUCAAUAAGUUUGGUGUUAAAUCUUCCGGCUCAACCGGAAACAAGCACCGAAAACUAUCGAGAUUGAGUCGAGUAGGGAAGAGGGGAAUUCCUGGUGGAGCGGUUAAAUGCGUAGAUAUCAGGAGGAAUACCAAGGGCGAAGGCACCUCUUUGGACUCGUACUGACGCUGAGGCUCGAAAGCGUGGGUAGCAAAACGGAUUAGAUACCCGUGUAGUCCACGCCGUAAACGAUCCCUGUUAGAUGUAUGUUUUGUC
rnacentral:rRNA from 1 species